rnacentral:rRNA from 1 species
AAGAAACCAACAGGGAUUGCCUUAGUAGCGGCGAGUGAAGCGGCAAAAGCUCAAAUUUGAAAUCUGGCACUUUCAGUGUCCGAGUUGUAAUUUGAAGAAGGUAUCUUUGGGUCUGGCUCUUGUCUAUGUUUCUUGGAACAGAACGUCACAGAGGGUGAGAAUCCCGUGCGAUGAGAUGUCCCAGACCUAUGUAAAGUUCCUUCGAAGAGUCGAGUUGUUUGGGAAUGCAGCUCUAAGUGGGUGGUAAAUUCCAUCUAAAGCUAAAUAUUGGCGAGAGACCGAUAGCGAACAAGUACAGUGAUGGAAAGAUGAAAAGAACUUUGAAAAGAGAGUGAAAAAGUACGUGAAAUUGUUGAAAGGGAAGGGCUUGAGAUCAGACUUGGUAUUUUGUAUGUUACUCUCUCGGGGGUGGCCUCUACAGUUUACCGGGCCAGCAUCAGUUUGAGCGGUAGGAUAAGUGCAAAGAAAUGUGGCACUGCUUCGGUAGUGUGUUAUAGUCUUUGUCGAUACUGCCAGCUUAGACUGAGGACUGCGGCUUCGGCCUAGGAUGUUGGCAUAAUGAUCUUAAGUCGCCCGUCUUGAAACACGGACCAAGGAGUCUAACGUCUAUGCGAGUGUUUGGGUGUAAAACCCGUACGCGUAAUGAAAGUGAACGUAGGUAGGACCUCCUUUAGGAGUGCACUAUCGACCGAUCCUGAUGUCUUCGGAUGGAUUUGAGUAAGAGCAUAGCUGUUGGGACCCGAAAGAUGGUGAACUAUGCCUGAAUAGGGUGAAGCCAGAGGAAACUCUGGUGGAGGCUCGUAGCGGUUCUGACGUGCAAAUCGAUCGUCGAAUUUGGGUAUAGG